GAGUUGUUAGCUCAGUGGGUAGAGCAACAGGGGGGUUUUAGGGCCCGGGGACCAGACCGUAAAUAAAGGCCAGUGUCCCGAAGAGACCCUAAAUCUGUGGUCGUAGGUGCGAUUCCUGCACAACUCA